rnacentral:lncRNA from 1 species
UCCUGCCUUUCCCUAUGACCAAACAAUAGAAACCCCAAAGUUUUUUCUUGGCAUUUCUCAUAUGCAGAAAAACUGUAAGGCAGCUGAUGUGAGGAAGCUGACUCAUGAAGAUGCAGAUAAGGGGCAAGUUGAGUUGCAGAGUGAUUGGGAAGCAUCUCACCUGCACCAUUACCUGGACUUCCUUUUAGUGGGGAAUUAGGGAUGCUUUGGAAAAGUUUUUUAACCUCAACUGGAAGCCAAAUUGCUCUGAGGGAGAUUCAUCCUGCCUGCCCUGCCACUUGUUCAACAAAGAGAAUUUCAGGAAAGAAGCAGUGCUAGUGCAACUGUGUCUUAAAGCACAAACAGAGAGGAAUGAGAGGUUUGCGGAGACCAAUGGGGCAGCGCGGUUACGGGCGUCCGGACAGAAUGAGGAGGGCACCCGGUCAUGGGUGCCGGGUGCUGGGGGACCAGGCACGGACGAGACGGAAAGGCCAUCCACACGGGGGCAUGCAGCACAGGGCGCCAGGUUGGAGCGUCAGGCCAGUGAGCCGGGUGCCGGGCUGGAGCAUCAGGCGCACCUCCGACCAAGGGAAGCUAGCACACGCGUUGUAAUGGUAAGAAGCAAACUUGUAAUAAGGGAUGGAAUGGAAGUGAAGGGGCAAGAUGAGUUUGGGAAGUCUGCUUGUCACCGCUGAUUCGCCUCCUGAAAUAGUAAAAACAUUAUUAACUUUAGGGGAAUCUGCUUGCCACCUAAAUAGUACACCGUUCAGCCCCCUUCGGAACUUGAGAUCGAAAGCCGUGUGAACUGCCUCAGAGCCUGGAUCACCCAUCUAUCUACGCACUCAGGAGGAAGAAAGGCAAACUCGUGCCCUCUUGAAGCCACUGUGUAUUUGAUCCAUUGAUUCGCCGCUCUUAAUUACUGCAACUACAUACUGUAUCUGAAUGUCUGUUAGGGGAAAUCCUCCAACUUAUGUUCUUGACUAUUCCUCACUUUGUUCUUCUGAAUGUAUUUUAAACCCAGAUUGUCAAUUUAUAAAUAAACAGCACCUAUUCUGAUUUUAAUUUUCAUUGCUCUGAAUCUAUAGUUU